UCAACAACAGAGAGGGGCGACACCCACAUCUCCAAAACCCUAACAUCAACAAAAACUCUAAAUUGAAGGCUCAAAUCAUGUUGUAAUCAAAAUCUGAACAUAGAAUUGUGAUCUCCUCGUCAAGAAGGUCAUAAGGCAAGGAAUCCGGGACGUCAAGUGGACACGCCGGAGGUGAUACCCGCGGAAAAGGUGUGCUUUGAAGGUAUGAAUGAAUCUCUCCCGGAUGACGAUCAAGCACUUUGUCAAGAACCGAACACGCAAAUCGAAGCUUCCGCACUGAAUAUGAUUCUGUCUAAACUUUAAACAUGUCAUAAAGAUUUUGUUAAUGGU